GACGAAGCGUGCGACCGUUGUUCGGAAUCACUGGGCUUAAAGGGCGCGUAGGCGGACUGCCAAGUCCGGGGUGAAAUCUUUCGGCUCAACCGGAAAAUAGCCUCGGAGACUGGCGGUCUGGAGGGAGGUAGGGGCAGCUGGAACUUCCGGUGGAGCGGUGAAAUGCGUUGAUAUCGGAAGGAACGCCGGUGGCGAAAGCGAGCUGCUGGACCUUUUCUGACGCUGAGGCGCGAAAGCCAGGGGAGCAAACGGG
rnacentral:rRNA from 1 species